rnacentral:rRNA from 1 species
AGAGUUUGAUUAUGGCUCAGGAUGAACGCUGGCGGCGUGCUUAACACAUGCAAGUCGAACGGAGUUUUUAAGUGAAAGUUUCGGAUGGAAGUUUAAAACUAGUGGCGGACGGGUGAGUAACGCGUGGGUAACCUGCCUCAUACAGGGGGAUAACAGUUAGAAAUGACUGCUAAGACCGCAUAAUAUAGCGAAACCGCAUGAUUUUUGCUAUCAAAUAUUUAUAGGUAUGAGAUGGGCCCGCGUCUGAUUAGCUAGUUGGUGGGGUAAAAGCCUACCAAGGCGACGAUCAGUAGCCGGCUUGAGAGAGUGACCGGCCACAUUGGGACUGAGACACGGCCCAAACUCCUACGGGAGGCAGCAGUGGGGAAUAUUGGACAAUGGGGGAAACCCUGAUCCAGCGAACCGCUGCGUGAGUGAAGAAGUAUUUCGGUAUGUAAAGCUCUAUCAGCAGGGAAGAUAAUGACAGUACCUGACUAAGAAGCCCCGGCUAACUACGUGCCAGCCGCCGC